GUUACAGCACUCGUUAUGCCUGGCAGUCCGAUAAUCUGUACACUGGGCAUUCCAAGACUACCCGAUAUAGGGCUAAGUUUGUAAAUAUUAUUGCAUCAUUAUUACAUUUUGUUUUAUAAUCGCGUGAAGUGAAAAUAUCGUUAUAGUUUAAAAUUGUCGCGAGCCGUCGGAUACAUUUUUGGCCUCGCUGCAGAAAGUUGGUUUUACUAUAUCUAUUCAUCUCACAUUUUUCUGUUAUUUUGCAAUCUUUAUUCUGUAAUCACGUUGAUACUUCUAGUAGAUUGACAAUUAAUUACUGUCCGUAAAAUGUAUAUAAUACGCGAUUUUAAUGUUUCCUUCCGCGCGUGCGUGCCAUCGGUCGGCACUUUGUUUAGAUAUUGCGUCGAAAAUAUAAGAAAAUAUAAUUGUCACCUUCUUAAUUGUUACUUUCCCUUCCUUUAUUUUUAUGCCAUGCAGGGAAAAACGGGUAACAACUUAAAUUUUCUUUUAGUUUUCUUCUAGCGAUUUAGUAUUUACUUCUAAAUGUAGUGGUAUUGGUGUUGUGUUGCCUUCUUUUGCAUUUUCCUUCACUUUCCAUUGUGAAAAUUGUUACAUUUUCCUGCUCCCUUAUCAAAACCUGGUAAAUUCCUGAUAUUUUUUCUUCGCCAGACCAUUUUCAUUUUAAAAUUGGCAUUUUCUUUUGACAACAUCCUAUAUAUUUGUUUUCCUUCAUUUCCAAUCAAUACUUGACCAAUUUUUUGUUUUCAACUGUUUUCUUUCUUGAACUGUAGAUUUUCUUUUGUAACACCCUGUAUAUCGCUUUUCCAUUCUUCGAAAAAUGUGGUAAGGUUAUUAUUGCAAGUUUCCUUUGGAAGUAUGAUUUUUCUUUUGGUAACACCCUGUACAUUUGUUUUCCGUGAUAAAUAGUUAUUUUCUAGUGCCUAUAUGUUAGUGUUUAUAAUUUGCUACUUGCCUGUUUGUGCGCGAUGAUGCAGGUCGUAAGUCCUGUUUCAAAAUGGCGACAUGUAUUCUGUUGACUUGUAAAAUAUAAACUUGUAUUUUAUUGUUAAUAAAUAAAUAGUAAGAUA